rnacentral:lncRNA from 1 species
GCCUCAGCCGUGUCCCUCCUGAUCCCUUUUCUACCUCUCCACCCCCAGGCUUCACAAGGGCUGUGGCGCCGGCUGCAAUAGUGGCGGGAACGUGGAUGAUUCAGACUGUAGUGGGGGCGGUGGCCUGACCUCCCUCAGCAAUAACCCCCCCGUGGCACACCCCACACCUGAGAACACGGCAGGUGAGCAGGCGAGGCUGGGCUGAACCCGUGAGUGAGGAGUGCAGCCCAGCUGAGGUCUCUGCUGUCUUAUCUGUCUCCUACAGGCAAUGGUGACCAACCCCUCCCACCAGGCCCUGGCUGGGGGCCGCGGUCCUCCCUGAGUGGCUCUGGUGAUGGGCGGCCCCCACCUCUGCUGCAGUGGCCUCCCCCUCGGCUCCCUGGACCACCCCCUGCAUCGCCUAUCCCCACAGAGGGUCCCCGGACCUCACGGCCCCCUGGCCCGGGUCUCCUCAGUUCUGAGGGCCCCAGUGGGAAGUGGAGCCUGGGGGGCCGGAAGGGGCUGGGAGGAUCUGACGGGGAGCCAGCCUCAGGGAGCCCCAAAGGAGGUACCCCCAAAUCUCAGGCGCCUCUAGACCUCAGCCUCAGCCUCAGCCCCGAUGUCAGCACUGAGGCCUCACCCCCCAGAGCUUCCCAGGACAUUCCUUGCUUGGACAGCAGUGCCCCUGAGAGUGGCACACCUAUGGGUGCCCUGGGCGACUGGCCUGCCCCUAUUGAGGAGCGUGAGAGCCCGGCAGCCCAGCCCCUGCUGGAACACCAGUACUGAGCUACCUGGCGCCCACUGGACCUCCUCCUAGGAUUCAGUAACGGACCUGCUCUGCUGCCUCUCUGCUGGACCACAGAACUGAGUGGCUUUGGCCUACAUGUCUGAACCCUGACCUUUGGCUGCCUUGGCCAGAGUGCCAAAACUGAGUGACCCAGACCUCUGACCUUGACCCCUGAUCUCUCUCAUCCCCAGUCCAGGGCCUGGGCUCCCCAGAUGGAGG